GGACGAACGCUGGCGGCGUGCUUACCCCAUGCAAGUCGAACGGAAAGGCCCUGCUUUUGUGGGGUGCUCGAGUGGCGAACGGGUGAGUAACACGUGAGUAACCUGCCCUUGACUUUGGGAUAACUUCAGGAAACUGGGGCUAAUACCGGAUAGGAGCUCCUGCUGCAUGGUGGGGGUUGGAAAGUUUCGGCGGUUGGGGAUGGACUCGCGGCUUAUCAGCUUGUUGGUGGGGUAGUGGCUUACCAAGGCUUUGACGGGUAGCCGGCCUGAGAGGGUGACCGGCCACAUUGGGACUGAGAGACGGCCCAGACUCCUACGGGAGGCAGCAGUGGGGAAUAUUGCACAAUGGGCGGAAGCCUGAUGCAGCAACGCCGCGUGCGGGAUGACGGCCUUCGGGUUGUAAACCGCUUUCGCCUGUGACGAAGCGUGAGUGACGGUAAUGGGUAAAGAAGCACCGGCUAACUACGUG
rnacentral:rRNA from 1 species